rnacentral:rRNA from 1 species
UACGAAGGGGGCUAGCGUUGCUCGGAAUCACUGGGCGUAAAGCGCACGUAGGCGGAUUCUUAAGUCGGUGGUGAAAUCCUGGAGCUCAACUCCAGAACUGCCUUCGAUACUGGGAGUCUUGAGUCCGAGAGAGGUGAGUGGAACUGCGAGUGUAGAGGUGAAAUUCGUAGAUAUUCGCAAGAACACCAGUGGCGAAGGCGGCUCACUGGCUCGGUACUGACGCUGAGGUGCGAAAGCGUGGGGAGCAAACGGG